rnacentral:tRNA from 1 species
UCUCAAGUAGCUCAACUGGUUAGAGCACCCGACUGUUAAUCGGGAGGUUAUAGGUUCGACCCCUAUCUUGAGAG